CCAGCCAUACUCAAGGUGGUAUUGACCCAUCAAGGACUUUUCAGGAGUCUAGUGCAGACUAUUAGUGCUGGACUAAUAACUUGUGCUUUAUUCAUGAUCCUAAAUGUGUUUUCAAAACCAGGUCAGGGCAAACAUGAAGGCACAGCAUUGAUGGGAGGGAUCUACGCUGUCUUCACACUUCCUUAUGCAGGUCCAGCCCUGUGUAGCACAACCAUGAGUGCCUGGGGUGUGUGCAAGGAUAUGAGAAGCAUGACUACCAUACCUCGGAGGGACAUGGGAUGGAAUGCUUAGUAGGAAAUAUAAA